GAUGAACGCUGGCGGCGUGCCUAAUACAUGCAAGUCGAGCGAACAGACGAGGAGCUUGCUCCUCUAACGUUAGCGGCGGACGGGUGAGUAACACGUGGAUAACCUACCUAUAAGACUGGGAUAACUUCGGGAAACCGGAGCUAAUACCGGAUAAUAUAUUGAACCGCAUGGUUCAAUAGUGAAAGACGGUUUUGCUGUCACUUAUAGAUGGAUCCGCGCCGCAUUAGCUAGUUGGUAAGGUAACAGCUUACCAAGGCAACGAUGCGUAGCCGACCGGCGAGGGCGGUCGGCCACACUGGAACUGGGGCACGGUCCAGACUCCUACGGGAGGCAGCAGUGGGGAAUCUUCCGCAAUGGGCGAAAGCCUGACGGAGCAACGCCGCGUGAGUGAUGAAGGUCUUCGGAUCGUAAAACUCUAUUAUUAGGGAAGAACAAAUGUGUAAGUAACUAUGCACGUCUUGACGGUACCUAAUCAGAAAGCCACGGCUAACUACGUGCCAGCAGCCGCAGUAA
rnacentral:rRNA from 1 species